rnacentral:rRNA from 1 species
GUCUCGUGGUGACAGCGGAGGGAUCAUUA